AUGCCAGCAGCCACCAUGGAGCCCGGAACCACCCCCUGGUCAACGGGCUUGUUCGACUGCGCCGACGACCAUGGCGUCUGCUUGCUGGGGUGGUGCUGCCCGUGCAUCGCGGUGGGGCGGAUGGCGGAGAUCCUGGACAAGGGGGCGACGUCAAGCGGCGCCGGCGCGGCCCUGUACAUGGCGAUAGGGGUGCUGUCGGGGUGGCAGUGCCAGUGGAUCUACUCCUGCGUGUACCGCACCAAGAUGCGCGCCCAGUACGGGCUCCAGGAGACCCCCUGCCCGGACUGCUGCGUCCACUUCUGCUGA
rnacentral:rRNA from 1 species